rnacentral:rRNA from 1 species
GGGGCUUAAACAUGCAGUCGAACGAUGAACGCCUUUCGGGCGGGGAUUAGUGGCGAACGGGUGAGUAACACGUGGGCAAUCUGCCCUGCACUCUGGGACAAGCCCUGGAAACGGGGUCUAAUACCGGAUAUGACUGUCCAUCGCAUGGUGGAUGGUGUAAAGCUCCGGCGGUGCAGGAUGAGCCCGCGGCCUAUCAGCUUGUUGGUGAGGUAGUGGCUCACCAAGGCGACGACGGGUAGCCGGCCUGAGAGGGCGACCGGCCACACUGGGACUGAGACACGGCCCAGACUCCUACGGGAGGCAGCAGUGGGGAAUAUUGCACAAUGGGCGAAAGCCUGAUGCAGCGACGCCGCGUGAGGGAUGACGGCCUUCGGGUUGUAAACCUCUUUCAGCAGGGAAGAAGCGAAAGUGACGGUACCUGCAGAAGAAGCGCCGGCUAACUACGUGCCAGCAGCCGCGGUAAUACGUAGGGCGCAAGCGUUGUCCGGAAUUAUUGGGCGUAAAGAGCUCGUAGGCGGCUUGUCACGUCGGUUGUGAAAGCCCGGGGCUUAACCCCGGGUCUGCAGUCGAUACGGGCAGGCUAUAGUUCGGUAGGGGAGAUCGGAAUUCCUGGUGUAGCGGCGAAAUGCGCAGAUAUCAGGAGGAACACCGGUGGCGAAGGCGGAUCUCUGGGCCGAUACUGACGCUGAGGAGCGAAAGUGUGGGGAGCGAACACGACUACAUACCCUGGUAGUCCACGCCGUAAACGGUGGGCACUAUGUGUGGGCAACAUUCCCCGUUGUCCGUGCCGCAGCUAACGCAUUAAGUGCCCCCGCCUGGGGAGUACGG